AAAACCAAAAUUUUAGUAACGGGCGGUGAAGCGGCAACAGCUCAGAUUUGAAAUCUGGCCCUUAUGGGGUCCGAAUUGUAAUCUGUAGAGGAUGCUUUUGGCGACGCGCCUUCCGAGUCCCCUGGAACGGGGCGCCAGAGAGGGUGAGAGCCCCGUAUGGUUGGACGCCGAACCUCUGUAAAGCUCCUUCGACGAGUCGAGUAGUUUGGGAAUGCUGCUCAAAAUGGGAGGUAAAUUUCUUCUAAAGCUAAAUACCGGCCAGAGACCGAUAGCGCACAAGUAGAGUGAUCGAAAGAUGAAAAGCACUUUGAAAAGAGGGUCAAAUAGCACGUGAAAUUGCUGAAAGGGAAGCGCUUGUGACCAGACUUGCGCCCGGUUGAUCAUCCAGCGUUCUCGCUGGUGCACUCUGCCGGGCUCAGGCCAGCAUCGGCUCUCCCAGGGGGAUAAAGGUCGCGGGAACGUAGCUCUCUCCGGGGAGUGUUAUAGCCCGUGGCGGAAUGCCCUUAGGGGGGGCCGAGGCCCGCGUUCGCAAGGAUGCUGGCGUAAUGGUCACCAGCGACCCGUCUUGAAACACGGACCAAAGGAGUAAAUCCCUUUAAAA
rnacentral:rRNA from 1 species